UGACUUGGAAGAACUAGGUUCUACAGGCAUGCAGGUUCUCCGUAAGCAUCCUUAAAAACUUAGCGAAAGUUUCAAGUACUCCUUCACAGUCAACUUCACUGCUGCAGCCCUGGCAUAGCUGUCAGUAGAGCUACUUGGUGCUGAAAGAGUGCUGAAUCAACUCACUAGUAACAUACAGAGUGUGGCUGUACUUCCGCAGGGGACACAAUGUCUGUGCCCACUGCACACAGCAUCAUGUUCACAUGACAAAUCUGGAACAGAGCUGGCUUCCCUGCUAUCAAUAACUGGUUCAUCAUGGUGCUUCAGCUAACUGCCAAGCUCUCCAGUAGUAAUGGGAUAAAUAUAACCAACUGAAGGAACAGCACGAGUGCACGCAACAGCUUUGUCUUGCCAUUUCAGCUUUACGCUUGGAAAAAGGAAUGACUGUUCUGAACAACUAUCACAGCAGUUGCUGAUAUUAGCCUGACCUGUUGAUGUUGACAAGGUUUCCAAAGCAGACUUACAACAUCCCAAUGUAUUCAUGUUUUAUAUAUGUCAGCUUGUAAAUGGUUGGAACUUCCUUUUGACUUUACAAGAGGUCAGCAGUAAAUAAGCUACAGAAGCCAAAUUCUCUCUUGUAAUUGAUGCAGUUGACUUUCAGAUGA